CCCACAGCUCGACCAAAGGCACCGCCCGCGGGAUAUGCCAAAAUUCAUGUGGAAGCGGGAGUCGCUCGCUUCAACAGAGGUGGGUCGGCAGCCGCAAUAUGUAGGGAUGAAAAUGGAGACUAUAUGGGAAGUUCAGCUCUAGUGAUUCCAGGGGUGUUGGACGUGGCAACGUUGGAAGCAAUAGCCUGCCGGGAAGCGUUGUCGCUGGCUGAAGAUCUGCAUAUCCAUGAUUUCAUUAUUGCUUCAGAUUCUAAACAGGUGAUCAGUGACAUAAACAAGGGCCACGGAGGCAAGCAUGAAGCCAUCAUAUCAGAGAUCAACCUGCGUGCUUCGGCGUUUAAUUGUAUCUUUGUUUUUGAGGGUAGGGCGUCGAACGGAGAUGCUCACAAAAUAGCUAGAUCCUCGCUUUCUUUUCAGCAGGGGCGCCAUAUGUGGCUUGUUAAUCCCCAUGCAAGUUGUAUCUCACAAACUAUGGUUUAUGAUCAAUAA
rnacentral:rRNA from 1 species